UCCUGGAUAGCUCAGUUGGUUAGAGCGUGGUGCUGAUAAUGCCAAGUUUGCAGGUUUGGUCCCCAUAUGGGAC